GAGCAUCCUGCCCUGGUCCCUGGUUCCAGCCAGAGCCAAGAAGUGAGAUGCAUGUGAAAAUGAAAGGGGUAUAUGGAGCAAUAAUAAAGUCCCUCUUGCCAAAUCUGAAAAAUGUCAUCUUGGAUUUCAUGAAAGAGUGAGAAUGAACAUUACUGGCUGCAGACUCACUGGAGAAAGGGAGGGAAGGAAAAAAGAAACCAGACGGAACUGGCCUCACACAAACCAUCAUUAUCACCUCCUUGUAUCCUUGCAAAUUAAGGGACGACAAGCCACUCUGUAUUUUCAUAACUCUGCAGUAAUUAGUGUUGCCAUUUAUAAUGGAAAUAAAGUGCAAAACAUCGGAGUUUCUAAGAUGGCA